rnacentral:ncRNA from 2 species
AAACCAGAAGAAUAAAGCCCUCAUAUAAUUUCGGGGAUAUGGCCCGUAAGUCUCUACCUGAUGACCGUAUAUUUCAUCAGACUAUGAGGGAAAGCAUCUUUCUG